GAUAGGGGGAUUCUCAGUGCUCAAGUUUUACUUGGGCUUUUGCCAAGAGUAAGUAUCUUGGAGAAUAAGUGGUGGGCAAGACCGGUGCCAGCCGCCGCGGUAAUACCGGCGCCACAAGUGGCAUUCGCGAUUAUUGGGCCUAAAGCGUCCGUAGCCGGCUUAGUAAAUCCUUUGUGAAAUCGUACAGCUCAACUGUACGGCGUGCAGGGGACACUACUAGGCUUGAGACAGGGAGGAGCUAGAAGUAUGCUGGGGGGACCGGUAAAAUGGGAUAAUCCCCGGUAGACUACCGAUGGCGAAGGCAUCUAGCCAGAACUGAUCUGACGGUGAGGGACGAAAGCCAGGGGAGCGAUCCGGAUUAGAUACCCGAGUAGUCCUGGCCGUAAACGCUGCGAGCAAGGUGUUGCAUAUCUUACAUGGAUGUGCAGUGUCGAAAGGAAGCUGUUAAGCUCGCCGCCUGGGGAGUACGGUCGCAAGGCUGAAA
rnacentral:rRNA from 1 species